GACGAACGCUGGCGGCGUGCUUAACACAUGCAAGUCGAACGGAAAGGCCCUGCUUUUGUGGGGGGCUCGAGUGGCGAAAGGGGGAGUAACACGGGAGUAAACUGCCCUUGACUUUGGGAUAACUUCAGGAAACUGGGGCUAAUAACGGAUAGGAGCUCCUGCGGCAUGGUGGGGGGUGGAAAGUUUCGGCGGUUGGGGAUGGACUCGCGGCUUAUCAGCUUGUGGGUGGGGUAGUGGCUUACCAAGGCUUUGACGGGUAGCCGGCCUGAGAGGGUGACCGGCCACAUUGGGACUGAGAUACGGCCCAGACUCCUACGGGAGGCAGCAGUGGGGAAUAUUGCACAAUGGGCGGAAGCCUGAUGCAGCAACGCCGCGUGCGGGAUGACGGCCUUCGGGUUGUAAACCGCUUUCGCCUGUGACGAAGCGUGAGUGACGGUAAUGGGUAAAGAAGCACCGGCUAACUACGUG
rnacentral:rRNA from 1 species